GAAAACCUCACUGCACAUGCGCACACCAUGUAAACAAAGCAGCAUGGCGUGUUGUCAAAAUCUUGUCUUCUAUUCUUUUAUUCAAACAUAUAUAUCAAAUAUAUAGUCUAGAUUUCUAACUUAAUAGUUUUUUAUGAUCCAUGAUGGCGGAGAAACCAGAGGGAUUGAACAAAUGUUUGCGAGACUUUUCUGAAGAAGCGCGAGAACUUUACCUGAACCAAUCCGUGCCUUACCUCGAGCUCCCUCCCUCCCCACUGGAGUUCUACCGCGACUGGAUUGGUCCAAAUAAGCCCUGCAUCAUCCGCAAUGCUUUCAACCAUUGGCCAGCCCUGUCCAGAUGGAGCCCAGACUACUUCAGGGAGAAGCUGGGGUCAAAGGUCAUCAGCGUGGCGGUGACCCCUGACGGCUACGCGGACGCGGUGAGCGACGGGCGCUUCGUGAUGCCGGAGGAGCGGAGCAUGACCUUCUCCUCGCUGCUGGACGUCAUCGAGGGCAAGGUGGAGCAGCCGGGGGUGUACUACGUCCAGAAGCAGUGCUCCAACCUGACGGAGGAGCUGCCGGAGCUGACACCGGACAUAGAGGAGGACAUACCCUGGAUGAGCCAGGCCCUGGGGAGGUCACCUGAUGCGGUGAACUUUUGGAUGGGAGAAGCCAGUGCUGUCACUUCCUUACACAAGGACCACUAUGAGAACCUGUACUGCGUGAUUUCUGGAGAGAAGACGUUCAUCCUCCUCCCGCCGAGCGACCGGCCUUUCAUCCCAUACGGCCUGUACCCGCCGGCGGUCUACAGGCAGGCCGCGGACGGACGCUUCGAGGUGGACGAGCAGACGGACGCCGAGAAGGUGCCCUGGAUCCCCCUGGACCCACUGGACCCGGACCUGGAGCGCUACGGGUCGUACCGCGGGGCCAGACCCCUGCUGUGCCGCGUGGCGGCGGGCGAGAUGCUGUACCUCCCCUCCCUCUGGUUCCACCACGUCAGGCAGAGCCAGGGCUGCAUCGCUGGUGCUGCCUCACUACUACCUCGCUACUACCUCACUACUACCUCACUACUACUACAUCACUACUACCUCACUAAUAAUGCUACUACCACGUCAGGCAGAGCCAGGGCUGCAUCGCUGGUGCUGCCUCACUACUACCUCGCUACUACCUCGCUACUACCUCACUACUACUACAUCACUACUACCUCACUAAUAAUGCUACUACCACGUCAGGCAGAGCCAAGGCUGCAUCGCUGGUGCUGCCUCACUACUACCUCGCUACUACCUCACUACUACCUCACUACUACUACAUCACUACUACCUCACUAAUAAUGCUACUACCACGUCAGGCAGAGCCAAGGCUGCAUCGCUGGUGCUGCCUCACUACUACCUCGCUACUACCUCACUACUACCUCACUACUACCUCACUAAUAAUGCUACUACCACGUCAGGCAGAGCCAAGGCUGCAUCGCUGGUGCUGCCUCACUACUACCUCACUACUACCUCACUACUACCUCACUACUACCUCACUAAUAAUGCUACUACCACGUCAGGCAGAGCCAGGGCUGCAUCGCUGUGAACUUCUGGUACGACAUGGAUUAUGACAUCAAGUACAACUACUACCAGCUCCUGGACACGCUCUCCGGCCUCACCCCACAACCAUGACAUCACAGGAAGUCAACAUGACCUCACAGGAAAUAACCAUGACAUCACAGGAAGUCCCGGCAGAGAGAUAUGCAGUUCAUCAUCUGGAAACGAG